rnacentral:rRNA from 1 species
AUAUGCUUGGUUUACUAAUCGGGUCAACGCGCUGGCUCGCGCGGCCGGGGGCGGCGCGCCUGCUUGAUGCAAAACGGCGGCGGUGGCCGGAUCCGUGCGCGGCAGGGGCUGGGAGGCGGAUCCGGAGGCGGGAGGCGAGGCGUGGGUCGCCGGUGAAGACAAGGCCUGAGCACGGUUUCCGUGCGGAUCCAUGGCAUCCGCGACUCUGGGAAGAAAGGAAACAGGGAGGUGAGGGAGGGAGAAAGGAGGCGCGGUGCGGAGACCUAGGCGGGAGCUCGCCGGGGCGUGGCGACAGUGGACGGGCGCGGGAGAGGCGCGGAUUCGGCGCGACGGUGCAGAGUCCUUAAAUAUUCAGACUCGACGUAUUUCCUUCUUCAUCCUGCUGGUGUUGUUCGUCCAGACGAAGGAGAAGAGGAAGGCGGCAACGCUACCGGCCGGCUGGGUGACAGCAGCCAGGCCACGGGUGGUGCAGCCACUCCGGCGAGUAUGAAUGAGGAAUUGACCACCAGAGCAACACUUGGUGCAGCUAGCUGCAGCGAGGACCAACUUGACUUGAUGGGAUACAAUCACCAAGAAAGAAUCAUACUCCUGUAUGAUCCAAGAUAUCGCACGAACAAGCUUGUGUGGAUACAAUCACCAAGAAAGAAUCAUACUCCUGUAUGACCAACUUGACUUGAUGGGGAGUACUUGAACUUACCAUUAUGCAUUGCACGAACUACCAAGAUAUUGUAUCUUCCUGUAUGAUCCAUAACUCAUAGACAUGAGUAGCGAUGGGAUACUAUUUGGAUGAGCGAUCUGGCAUGUAAGCUUAGCUCGGUGGUUUAGAUUAUCACUGUUAGUCUUCUGGUCGUGGCAAUUUUUUUAGACUUCUUGAGGUAGCUCAACCAAUCUGGUGUAAAGCUAUGAAGGCAUUUUGCUUGGAAACAAUACUGAAAGGAUACCUUAACUUCAUUUUGUCCCCUAGAUUAGUAUAAGUAUAUUAAGUCCCGUUUAUUUAGAUGUAUAGCUCGCAUGACAGUUUUGUUUAAACAAGUUUUUGGGGCAUUUAGCAAUUCUCACAUAUCUUGUUAGCCAUGCACUUGCUUUUCAAGAUAUCAUUUGCAAUCUACUUCAUGC